ensembl:misc_RNA Metazoa_SRP Metazoan signal recognition particle RNA
GCUGAGUGAGGUAGCAUGCACCAAUAGUCCAGCUACUCUGGAGGCUGAGGCAGGAGGAUUACUUGAGCCCAGGAGUUCUGGGCUGUAGUGCAUCAUGCACACUGGGUGUUUGCAUCAAACACUAAGUGGCAUCAGUAUGGUAACCUCCUAGGAGGGGCGACCACCAGCUUGCCUAAGGAGAGGGGAACUGGCCCAGGUUGGAAAUAGAGCAAGUUAAAACUUCUGUGCUCAACAGCAGGGGGAUUACUCCUGUGAAUAGCUACUGCACUCUAGCCUGGGCAACAUAACUUUACCCCCUUUCAA